AAGCCAUGAUGUGGACACUUCUUUAGCAAUUCAUUCAAAUGCUCCCACGCUUCAUGUAGGGGUUCUUCAUCCCCUUUAGAAAAUUCAUGAAUCAAAGUUCUCAUUGA